rnacentral:rRNA from 1 species
GGUUUUUUUCUGGUUCAGGAAGAACGCCGGUGGUCUGCCUAAUACUUGCAAGUCAAGCGGUCAGAUGGGAGCUUGUUCCUGAUGUCAGCGGCGGACGGGUGAGUAACACGUGGGUAACCUGCCUGUAAGACUGGGAUAACUCCGCGAAACCGGGGCUAAUACCGGAUGCUUGAUUGAACCGCAUGGUUCAAUUAUAAAAGGUGGCUUUUAGCUACCACUUACAGAUGGACCCGCGGCGCAUUAGCUAGUUGGUGAGGUAACGGCUCACCAAGGCAACGAUGCGUAGCCGACCUGAGAGGGUGAUCGGCCACACUGGGACUGAGACACGGCCCAGACUCCUACGGGAGGCAGCAGUAGGGAAUCUUCCGCAAUGGACGAAAGUCUGACGGAGCAACGCCGCGUGAGUGAUGAAGGUUUUCGGAUCGUAAAACUCUGUUGUUAGGGAAGAACAAGUACCGUUCGAAUAGGGCGGUACCUUGACGGUACCUAACCAGAAAGCCACGGCUAACUACGUGCCAGCAGCCGCGGUAAUACGUAGGUGGCAAGCGUUGUCCGGAAUUAUUGGGCGUAAAGCGCGCGCAGGCGGUUUCUUAAGUCUGAUGUGAAAGCCCCCGGCUCAACCGGGGAGGGUCAUUGGAAACUGGGGAACUUGAGUGCAGAAGAGGAGAGUGGAAUUCCACGUGUAGCGGUGAAAUGCGUAGAGAUGUGGAGGAACACCAGUGGCGAAGGCGACUCUCUGGUCUGUAACUGACGCUGAGGCGCGAAAGCGUGGGGAGCGAACAGGAUUAGAUACCCUGGUAGUCCACGCCGUAAACGAUGAGUGCUAAGUGUUAGAGGGUUUCCGCCCUUUAGUGCUGCAGCAAACGCAUUAAGCACUCCGUCCUUGGGAGACGGCAGU